rnacentral:lncRNA from 1 species
AAUAAUAGAGUUUUUUAGAAGUCACAUUAUCACACUAAGAUAUAAAAAUUUCCACUAAUUUUAUCGUAUUUUCAUUAAAUCUAUGUUUCGGAGUAAGUUCAGUUAAUUCCUAUUUAAAUUUUCGUUAUAAAAAAUAAUAAUAAAAUCUAGAUGUAAAUAUAAAUCAUAUCAGUAGGAGUAUUUGAUUUGAAAUUUCAAUAUUUUGCCUUCCUAUAAAAAGAGAACAAUAAAAAAGAGAUCAACGGCGAAAUCAAUCAUAGAGGGUACAACACUCCCCUCUUUUCCCUCCUCCACCUUUAUACACUCUUGCUCUUUUCUCAAUCGCACUACUUCAUCCACGACACUCAACAACCGCACCAGAAACCAAUCACCAUCAUUCUUCCUUGACAAUAUUAAAAUUUAAGAUAUAAUAGAUAUAUUUAUACAAUAAAGAUAAAGAUAUUUUUUAAGAUAAUUUAAAUUUAAAUUUUAGCUGAAAUAAUAUAUAGUUAAAUUUUAUUUAUCAAAUAUUGAAUUACUAAAGUUUAUUCUCCAAAAAAUUAAAAAAAGUUAGUAAAUUUUUUUUAUAUAAAUAAUAGAGUUUUUUAGAAGUCACAUUAUCACACUAAGAUAUAAAAAUUUCCACUAAUUUUAUCGUAUUUUCAUUAAAUCUAUGUUUCGGAGUAAGUUCAGUUAAUUCCUAUUUAAAUUUUCGUUAUAAAAAAUAAUAAUAAAAUCUAGAUGUAAAUAUAAAUCAUAUCAGUAGGAGUAUUUGAUUUGAAAUUUCAAUAUUUUGCCUUCCUAUAAAAAGAGAACAAUAAAAAAGAGAUCAACGGCGAAAUCAAUCAUAGAGGGUACAACACUCCCCUCUUUUCCCUCCUCCACCUUUAUACACUCUUGCUCUUUUCUCAAUCGCACUACUUCAUCCACGACACUCAACAACCGCACCAGAAACCAAUCACCAUCAUGGUAAGUUUCUCUCUUUUCCAACCCCAUUCCUUUCAACCUAGAUCUCCCUAUUUUCUGUUCUUUUUUGUUCUUUCUCGUCCCUCUUCAAAAAAAAGUUUUUUUUAAGGGGAAACCCUAACUGGAUUUAACUUCCCCUAACUGACUAUAGAAUGUCGUGUCUAUAUCCUAAACUAUUUCGGUUAAAAAUUCUGUUAUCAAAAUCGAAUCAGUGUAGGGUUACUGUAACUGUUUUUUGAUGAAUGAAUUCUCAAUUUUUGUAUGAAUGGCUAGUGUUAACUGUUUGUUAUUGUUAUAAUGUAUGUUAAUUUUCACCAUUUCAUUACUUUUAUCUUUAUACGUUUAUAAAAAAAAUUCAUUUCUUUU